AUUCUGGAUACAGAUGCGAGUGAUUCAGCCAUAGGAGCUGUGCUUUCGCAAAAUCAAGGAGGAGCUGAGAAAGUUAUUGCAUAUGCGAGCCGAACUUUAUCUAAAUCAGAGCGGAAGUACUGUGUGACAAAGAAGGAAUUAUUAGCAGUUGUUUCCUUUGUCAAGUAUUUUAGACAUUAUCUGUAUGGAAGAAAAUUUUUCAUUCGUACAGAUCAUGGUUCGCUUAGAUGGCUCCUAAACUUUAAGCAACCAGAAGGUCAGUUGCCACGUUGGCUGGAAAUUCUGAGCUUGUAUGAUAUGACUAUAGAACAUCGUUCUGGCUCUGAGCAUCGAAAUGCAGAUGCACUCAGUCGCCGUCCAUGUAAUAAAUGCAAGUACAAUCCAAACUGGGAGACGGAGAAGUCAAAGGAAUCAUUCUCAGAAAAGAAAACAACACAUCAUGUAUGUGGUAUUUGGACUAAAAGUAAGAAAACAGAUAACGUUCACAGCGAAACAGGAGUUGAUGACACUUCCCUUGCAGAUCUUCAAAAGGAAGACAAGGAGAUAUGUCUUGUAAAGAAAUGGCUCCUUGAAAAUAUAAAACCCAGUCAAACAGAUCUAAGUUAUGGAGGGAUAAUGACAAAAGCUCUUUGGGCACAAAGAGAAACGCUACAGGUUCAAGAUGAAUUACUGUAUAGAAAAUGGAACGAUGAGAAGGGAACAAGUUUCCAAGCAGUCGUUCCAUUUAAAGCGCGACGUCAGAUUCUGGAAUACUCUCAUGACCAUAAAACAGCAGGUCAUUGGGAGUCAGGAAAACCUUAAGUAAGAUAAGACAGCAAUACUACUGGCCCGGAUUACAGAAAGAUGUAAGACACUACAUAAGAGGUUGUGAGAUAUGCACUAAAUCAAAAAGUUCAACAAAAACUAAAAGAGCUCCUAUGAAAACUUUAGGUGCCGGUAUUCCAAUGGAGAGAAUUGCUUUGGACAUAGUGGGAGAAUUACCAAGAACCGAGAAUGGUAACCGGUACAUACUGGUAAUUUGUGACUAUUUUACAAAGUGGGUAGAAGCCUUUGCUAUGCCAAAUAUGGAAACUGUUACCAUCGCUAGACUAUUAGUUCGAGAAGUUCUGACAAGAUUUGCAAUUCCGAGCUCUUUGCAUUAUGAUCAGGGAAAACAAUUCGAGGGAAACAUAUUCACAGAGAUGUGCAAAGUGUUGAAUAUCAAGAAGACAAGAACAAGUCCAUAUCACCCUCAAUGUGACGGACUUGUUGAAAGGUUUAACAAAACCUUGAUAACCAUGCUGAGGUCGUUGAUGGAUGAACAUCAGUCAGACUGGGAUGAGUUACUACCAUAUGUCUUAAUGGCAUAUAGAUCGGUGGAACAGGAAUCCACUGGAUUUAGCCCCAAUUAUCUAAUGUUGGGAAGAGAGGUUCGGACACCUCUGGAUAUUGCAUUUGAAAUGCCGUCCCAGAUCAAAGAUAUCCCAUUACAACAAUGGGUUUGGGAUCUCAAGGAGAAGAUGGAAAUGGCACAUACCUUUGUGAGAGAAAAUUCAUUUGGCUCCAUGUUGAGACAGAAAAGUUUCCAUGAUACAAAGUUAAGUUGGAAUAUGUUUUCACCCGGAGAUGAAGUGUAUGUUUACUUCCCUAGAUAUGCAAUUGGAAAAUCUCCAAAAUUGACUCAAUUUUGGAAAGGGCCAUAUCGUGUGAAAGAUAAGUUGUCAGAUGUAAGCUAUAGAGUAAACUGUGGUCCAUACGGAAAACCACAAGUCAUUCACGUUGAUCGAAUGAGGCCAAAAAGAGCCCAGACCUUUCAGGAUGAGGAGACGAGCUCUUCCAAUCCUAUAGCAGCUGAUGAUCAAAAUGAUACUGCAGAGCUCGAUGAGCUCAAAAGUGAAGACUGUGAGAGAAUGUCAGAUAGGUUUAGGGAGCGUCGAAGACCCAAGUAUCUGUCUGAUUAUGUAGUUGAAUUGUAGAAAAAAAUGUCUAACUCCCAAAAUGAUAUGUUUAGUUAGUAUGAUUUUAUUUUGCACGUUUAAAUACAUCUUUGAGAAAACUGAUAUUUGACGAUUUUUUUUAUGUCUUUCCAGAAAGACAAUGCCACAAAUGAAGACAGCUCCCAGAAAGGAGCGGAAAUGUCCAGUGUGCAAGUUUAAGAGUUUUGAUAUGGAUGAAAUCACAAAGCACAUUACAGAAUGUGGGUUAAAGCAGCUCAAUAAGAGAUAUAGUUGUGAUCGACAAGAUUGUGAAUUUGCCACAAACAAGAUGGGGAACCUUAUGAGACAUAAGAAAAGGCAUGCUGAGCUGGAUCAGCAAGGUUCCCCGAAAGCAAUAUCCACUACCACUACAGAUAAGCAGGAUCAGACGAUGAAAAGCGUGGUGGUUGUAGAUGAAGAGAAAAGAAAAGAAACAGAUCUGGAUGAAGAAGAUUCGGACAGUGAAUGGAAAGAAGCAGACCCUGGCAAUCUUCACAACAUUAUUGAUGAUGUCUCCGAGAUAGAAAGCGAGAAAGAAGUUCAGCACAAAGAGAAAGAUCAGGAAGAAGUACAUGUUGGAAGGAUCUAUAGAAAACCUACUGUGCCAUUGCCAAUUUUCGCUCCAAAGCGUAAAGAACCAUUUGUAUCUUCUUCUGGGGUUCCUGCACGCCCGAAGAUUUGCAGACCUUUGAGUUUAUUCAGUACUUUGGCAACGCAGACAGAGAAGAAAGUACGAAGAGUUGAGUGGACAAUCACCAAGUGGAAGGAAGGAGACAAGGAGAUCGAGCACAUUGUCAUGAUCGAGGAAGAGUAAUUUAAAGAGAACACUUCUGUCCAGAGUGAACAAACAAUUGUUAAAACAUUGUUGUACAGGAAGCAAGAAGCUCUCCUGAAUCAAUAGUUAAAUUUAUCGUUAAUGAAACUAUUAAAGAUUUUAGAG
rnacentral:misc_RNA from 1 species